UGAGGAAUAUUGGUCAAUGGACGAGAGUCUGAACCAGCCAAGUAGCGUGAAGGAUGACUGCCCUAUGGGUUGUAAACUUCUUUUAUACGGGAAUAAAGUGAGGCACGUGUGCCUUUUUGUAUGUACCGUAUGAAUAAGGAUCGGCUAACUCCGUGCCAGCAGCCGCGGUAAUACGGAGGAUCCGAGCGUUAUCCGGAUUUAUUGGGUUUAAAGGGAGCGUAGGCGGACGCUUAAGUCAGUUGUGAAAGUUUGCGGCUCAACCGUAAAAUUGCAGUUGAUACUGGGUGUCUUGAGUACAGUAGAGGCAGGCGGAAUUCGUGGUGUAGCGGUGAAAUGCUUAGAUAUCACGAAGAACUCCGAUUGCGAAGGCAGCUCACUGGACUGCAACUGACACUGAUGCUCGAAAGUGUGGGUAUCAAACAGG
rnacentral:rRNA from 1 species